UGCAAUUUGUGUAUGAAUAACAGAAUAAUUUCCCUCUUUUGUUUCGCCUUUCCUGUUCCUGAAUCUAAAUAAAGAUGGCUUUUUAGUAUUAAAAGUGGAAGAAAAUUACAGGUAAUUAUCUUUGACGGUAAAAACGCUGUAAUCAGCGGGCUACAUGAAAAAUUACUCUAAUUAUGGCUGCAUUUAAGAGAAUGGAAAAAAACCUUCUUGUGGAUAAAAACCUUAAAUUGUCCCCAAUGUCUGCUUCAAAUUGGAUGGCACUGCAGCUGGAGGCUUUGUUCAGCAUUGAUCCUGGGGAGCUACGAACCCAAAGUUUCACAGUAGGAAGGGGGAAAAAAGAAAAGAAAACAUUUUUCCUAAUGUAACAAUGCGAAUGCUAGAAAAUGACAAGACUGAUCGGCUCUAAACCAUUCUGAAGACUGACUGAGCGUGGAAGUUGCUCAACAAAAAAAGGAACGGGUAUAUUGGUGGAAGACAGGACCAGAGUGCAGCAGUCUGUUCAGUGGACAGUGUGUAAGCUGAAGCCAGGCCUGGCCUGUGCAGGACUCCGGAGGCUGAGGUCACCGGAUCCCUGACUCACUGGAGCUCAGAAAUGGACGACAUGCUGCUGAGAACCAGAGGGAAGCCUACUCCUUUGGAAGAGCAUUUCCCUAGAUUACUUCACCACUGCUGGGGAUCCCCUUGAACACUGGUCCCUGAACGCCAGCUUCCAGAAGAUUCCAUGGAUGGCCAUCCAGUCUUAUCCACUGCAGUUUUCCCUCUGCACUUCCUUCUUUAAUUCCUUCGCUUCAGCGAGGCUCUCAUCAGGGUCAGAUCAGAGAUGGACCAGCUGGACCACAGAUUGGAGGACUGACCUCUUAGAGUGCCAACAGUCAACAGUGUGCUGUCCGACCCAUAGAAAGAUAAGAAGAAGAAGAAAAUAUGCUAUGUGGAAGGGAGAGGAAUGGUCUGAUAAUUCCUUAGAGGCUGAAAGUGAGGAACAACCAAAUUUAGAGGAAUGUGACAUUUUCCUGCAGGGCUUCUCUUUUGUCCCUACUGAGAUAUAUAAUCUGGGUGUUUCUGCUGGACUGUGAUUCAGGAGACUAAGUCUUCUAGUGGUCCUCCUGCUAGUAAGAAACACCAACCCAUUGGUCUCUGUAUUGCUUCUCUGCACUGUAGAUCUGCACUUUUGACCUGGAAGAUGUUGGCCUUGACUCUUGUAGGAUCAAGGUCAAUGAUAACAGUAGUUCAAACCUUCCCCAACUUUGUGUUUAUAGAUCAGGUGGUGACAUCCUGUACUGAGUUUGUUAGAGCAAUGGAGUCACAGGGUGGAACUGAACUCUUAAAAUAUUUGGCUAACUGAACUCUUAAAAUAUUUGGCUGAAACAUGAUAUUGCUAGUUAUGUAGAAGACAGCAUUAUGGAACAUGAUUGGAAUCAUGAAACAAGUUACUACUGGUUAUAUUUUGCAAUCCAGCAACUCGCUAAGGACAGUGUAGACUCUACAGAAACUGGGAGCAGGUAGACAUGGUUCUUUUCUCAUGGAGCUUACACUCCAGUGUCCCUGUAGGUGUGAAAAACAGUGGCUAUAGCAUAUGCAUGGCCACUAGUUGGGGAGGAGUUCCUAAUGCUGUAGUCAUAGCCAGUGACCAAGUAUCUCUAAGCCUACCUUUUAUAAGCAAUCUAUGGACAUGGACUGCUUUUCCCUAGCCAAAGUCCUGGGAUAUCAGGGGAAGUGCUUGAGGUUUGCAGCUUCUGGGGAGGGAAAUAUGAAAUGAUUUAGACCAGGGAACAAAAAGGGAUGGGAUUCACAACCAACUAUUGCUUUUAUUCUGUGUAGAAAUUACAGUAUGAAAUAUGCUGGGCUGGGAAACUUUGACACCUUGGUAUUAUUCCUUCCUUCCUUCCUUCCUUCCUUCCUUCCUUCCUUCCUUCCUUCCUUCCUUCCUUCCUUCCUUCCUUCCUUCCUCUCCUUACUUUCCUUCUCCUCCUCCUCCUUUUUUUUUUAUAAUACUAAAAAGCUAUGUGAUUGUAGGCAAGCCAUUUCCCAUUCCCUGUGGAUGUCUCUUGAGUGACUUUAAAAGCCCUUCUAGUUCUGAAAGUCUUUUUGUUGUUGUUGUUGUUGAUUUGUUUGUUUUUUCAAGACAAUGUUUCUCUGUGUAGCUUUGG